rnacentral:snRNA from 1 species
AUGCUCUCUUAGGCAGCACGUAUACUAAAAUUGGAACGAUACAGAGAAGAUGAGUGUGGCCUCUGUGCAAGGAUGACACGCAAAUUCAUAAAGCGUUCCAUAUUUAA